rnacentral:rRNA from 1 species
UCAAGAAUAUUCCUCAAUGGACGAAAGUCUGAAGGAGCGACGCCGCGUGGUUGAUGAAGUCCCUCGGGAUGUAAAAACCUUUUAUCAGGGAAGAAACCUGACGGUACCUGAAGAAUAAGGGGUUACUAACUCUGUGCCAGCAGCAGCGGUAAUACAGAGACCCCAAGCGUUAUCCGGAUUGAUUGGGCGUAAAGAGUGCGUAGACGGCUUUAUAAGUCUAUGGUUAAAUUCCCGGGCUCAACCCGAGAAC